UGUUUAGUGAGAUACAAGCAGG
rnacentral:piRNA from 1 species